GACCACGUAGCUCAGUUGGCAGAGCGUUGGGCUAGUAUCCAAAGGUCGUAGCUUUGAUUCCCACCGUGGUCA
rnacentral:tRNA from 1 species